rnacentral:tRNA from 1 species
GAAGGGAUGGCUGAGUGGUUUAAAGCGAUAGACUGUAAAUCUAUUUAAUUUUUUAUUAAUCGUAGGUUCAAAUCCUACUCUCUUCA